rnacentral:rRNA from 1 species
UACAGAGGGUGCAAGCGUUGUUCGGAUUUACUGGGCGUAAAGCGCGUGUAGGCGGGUCGUUAAGUUGGGGGUGAAAUCCCGAGGCUCAACCUCGGAACUGCCUUCAAAACUGGCGACCUGGACUCAAGUAGAGGCAAGUGGAAUUGCGAGUGUAGAGGUGAAAUUCGUAGAUAUUCGCAGGAACACCAGUGGCGAAGGCGACUUGCUGGACUUGUGGUGACGCUGAGACGCGAAAGCGUGGGGAGCAAACAGG